rnacentral:rRNA from 1 species
CCUACGGGACGCAGCAGUGGGGAAUAUUGCACAAUGGGGGAAACCCUGAUGCAGCGACGCCGCGUGAGCGAUGAAGUAUUUCGGUAUGUAAAGCUCUAUCAGCAGGGAAGAAAAUGACGGUACCUGACUAAGAAGCCCCGGCUAACUACGUGCCAGCAGCCGCGGUAAUACGUAGGGGGCAAGCGUUAUCCGGAUUUACUGGGUGUAAAGCGAGUGCAGGCGGUUCAAUAAGUC